GACGAACGCUGGCGGCGUGCUUAACACAUGCAAGUCGAACGGAAAGGCCCUGCUUUUGUGGGGUGCUCGAGUGGCGAACGGGUGAGUAACACGUGAGUAACCUGCCCUUGACUUUGGGAUAACUUCAGGAAACUGGGGCUAAUACCGGAUAGGAGCUCCUGCUGCAUGGUGGGGGUUGGAAAGUUUCGGCGGUUGGGGAUGGACUCGCGGCUUAUCAGCUUGUUGGUGGGGUAGUGGCUUACCAAGGCUUUGACGGGUAGCCGGCCUGAGAGGGUGACCGGGCAACAUGGGGACGGGGAUACGGCCCAGACCCCUAGGGGGGGCAGCGGGGGGGAAUAUUGAACAAGGGGCGGAGGCCGGAUGCAGCACCGCGGGGUGGGGGAGGCGGCCUUUGGGGUUGUAACCCGCUUCCGCCUGUGAGGAGGGGGGGGGGAGGGUAAGGGGAAAAGAAGCACGGCCAAACUACGU
rnacentral:rRNA from 1 species